UUCCUACGGGGGGCAGCAGUGAGGAAUAUUGGUCAAUGGGCGAGAGCCUGAACCAGCCAAGUCGCGUGAGGGAGUACUGCCCUAUGGGUUGUAAACCUCUUUUGUCGGGGAGCAAAAGCCGGACGUGUCCGGCUGUGAGAGUACCCGAAGAAAAAGCAUCGGCUAACUACGUGCCAGCAGCCGCGGUAAUACGUAGGGAGCAAGCGUUAUCCGGAUUUACUGGGUGUAAAGGGCGUGUAGGCGGGCCUGCAAGUCAGAAGUGAAAUCUGGGGGCUUAACCCCCAAACUGCUUUUGAAACUGUGGG
rnacentral:rRNA from 1 species